rnacentral:tRNA from 1 species
GAUGAGGUGGUCUAGCGGUUAGAACGCUGGCCUUGUAAUCCUGGGGUCCCGGGUUCGAUUCCCGAAUUUAUAA